rnacentral:piRNA from 1 species
UCCAACAUCAACGACUUUUCUGC